AAGGGAGCACUUUAGGACAGU
rnacentral:miRNA from 1 species